rnacentral:rRNA from 1 species
AUUGAACGCUGGCGGUAUGCUUAAGACAUGCAAGUCGUGCGGUAGAAGGCUUCGGCCUUUGAGAGCGGCGGACGGGUGAGUAACACGUGGGAAUCUGCCUAUUAGUGGGGGACAGCCCAGCGAAAGCUGGAUUAAUACCGCAUACGCCCUACGGGGGAAAGCAGCAAUGCGCUAAUAGAUGAGCCCGCGUAAGAUUAGCUAGUUGGUAAGGUAAAGGCUUACCAAGGCGACGAUCUUUAGCUGGUCUGAGAGGAUGGCCAGCCACAUCGGGACUGAGACACGGCCCGGACUCCUACGGGAGGCAGCAGUCGGGAAUAUUGGACAAUGGGCGCAAGCCUGAUCCAGCAAUACCGCGUGUGUGAAGAAGGCCUGCGGGUUGUAAAGCACUUUCAGUUGGGAAGAUAAUGACGUUACCAACAGAAGAAGCACCGGCUAACUCCGUGCCAGCAGACGCGGUAAAGUAGUCGUGU